GGGGCCGUGUAGCAGCCCCGGCAGCAGAGGGGCAGCGGCGGAGCCGGAGCGGAGCCGGUGCAGAAGUGCCCAGUUGGAGAUGGCUCACAGAAGCUUCUGUUUGUGCAGGAAGUCACCUACUGAUGUCACGGCUUCUUCAGUUGUACCAGCACAGCUGGACACAAAGGCAGUGGGCAUCCCUGAUGACCUGGCAUGGGAAAACCACUGGGUUAUGGGUGUCAGCCAUGGGGACAUGGGUGACAUGGGGUGUCAGCGAUGACCACCUGGAAAAGCACCUUCCUCAAAUAACUGCCAGGAGACUGAAUUCGUCAAAAGGGCAGUAGCAUGAAAACAUCGCAUGUAAGAUACAGUUGGCUUCCCAGUGGUGAGUUGAGUGCCUUCACAGGCUCACCACAAAGAGGAACUGGAGUUAGCUUGAUGGUUUUGUCAGCUCCUGUGUGCUGCUCACCUCACCAAUGCUGCUGCCAGCUGUGUUACGCUUUUUUUUUUUCCUGUUGGCCUCAGAGAGAACAGAAAUUGCCCUAAGCUUUUUAUUUUUAUUUAGUAGUAUGGUGUUACACCCAAAGAGCUCUUUCCAGAACACCUUGUCUUUUCCUCUCCUGUACAGGGAGUCGCUUUUUUCGAUAAGGUUAAAUUUAUUUGACAUAAAAUUAGGCCAGCCAGUUGUUUGUGCCAAAGCAUGAAUUCUUGGCGGAGAGAGGUCAUCGUUAUGUCUUUGUUUUGUAGCUGCUUUUAAUUGAACUUUUUCAUUUUGAAAUAAUUAAGUAGCAAGACUUGGCCAUUUGGCUAGCUGCUUUGCCUUGUGUUUGUCUUUUUGGUGUGUUUUCUGAAAACGAGCAACAAAUGCAACGUUUGUUUUGUCAGCCAUGGAAAGAUUGACUGGAACAACCUGCAGUAUGAAGUUAUGAUGGGGCAGGACAUUCCCAUGUCUUUAAGGCACCGGUGGUCUCUGCCUUUCUGUUUCUGUGUCACGUUCUCCUCUCGCCCCAUAACAACCCAGGAGGACGUUGAAAAUCCUGUUUGCACCACAAACAAGGUGAGGCAGCCACAGCAGGAGCUUUGCCUCUGUGUGCCGCUGUCCUGCCUGUGUGAUGGCUGCUCCCGUGGUUUCUCCGAGGGAGGCGUUCUCCAGCAGAAGAGGACUACCCACCUCUGCCCUGCCCAGUGGUCUAUGGAGCAGGGUUGCGUUUCUGCCCAUCGCUGUGCCUCCUCAUCCCACGGAAGAGCUUCCUCGAGAUCCAGCUUCCCAGCAGGUUCCCUUCUGCAAAGGGCUGCAGGGUUGUUUACUGGAGUCUGCACCAGGAACCAAGGGCACGUACAUAAAGGCACGUCAGAUAAGGCAUUACUUGCUGGUUGAAGGCUAUUCACGUUCAGGAUCUUUCAGCUCUUCUAGUCCUUUCUACAGAGAAUCGAUGUCCAAAUGCAUCGGAGGGUGGUCUUUUCUGCUGUGUCUUAUUUGGGACUUCUUUGUGCUUUCUGCAAAUGGAACAUGGAACCUGGAACGUGGGAAUCACAUCUUUAUUUUAAUUGCCAGUUUCAGCAGUUAAAAUCAUAUGCAGAGCAAAUUCUGCACUCAAUCAGAUGUGAACAAUGCAGCGUCCCUGUGGGUUUUCUGGACAUCACUGGUUGGUCCAAAGUGGUGUGCUGGUUUUGGUGAAUUAGGAGCAGAGUCAGCAUCUGACUGAGUCCCAAACAUCUGCAGGUACAGGAUAAGACUGAGACCUGCCCUCCAUCCUCCGACGGUGCCUUCAAAACACCCCAGGCAGGGAAGGAGGCCAUUCCUGAGAAGAAAAAGAAAGAUGACAAGUGCUCUGGGUGGUUGAUCAAGGCAGGGUUUCACCGCCUGUGCACGUCGGUUUCAGGUGCCGUAUUCUCACUCAGGACUUGUUGCAGUCUGAACUCAUCUUCAUCAUAUGAGGAUCAUAUGAGGUAUCCUCCAUUAGGGACACUUUGCUCUGACAGGCGUCCUGCUGUGCAUUGCAGCAGUUCGGAACUGAAUAAUUUAUUUUGGAAGCACGUUUUGUACAUGACUUAGAAAAUGGAAGAGAACAGGGAUAUUGCAACAGUGAGCUGUGGACAAAUAUGUUCUUCCUUAUAGUUUCUAAGCAUUGCACUUUGCCAUCCAUUGUUUCAAAAUUGUUUUCUCUCUCAUAAUUAUCUUCAAAAGAGAAGGUCGAUCCAAAGUGGCUGUUGUUUUUUGGUUGUUUUUUUUUCUUUCAGGGUGGUUCAUUGAUUUCCAUUUUUAA